rnacentral:rRNA from 1 species
UACGAACGACGUACCUUCGGGUCUAGUGGCGCACGGGUGCGUAACGCGUGGGAACCUGUCCUUUAGGUUCGGAAUAACUCAGGAGUAAAUUUGAGCUAAUACCGGAUAAUGUCUUCGGACCAAAGAUUUAUCGCCUUUAGAUGGGCCCGCGUUGGAUUAGCUAGUUGGUGGGUAAAGGCCUACCAAGGCGACGAUCCAUAGCUGGUCUGAGAGGAUGAUCAGCCACACUGGGACUGAGACACGGCCCAGACUCCUACGGGAGGCAGCAGUGGGAAUAUUGGACAAUGGGCGAAAGCCUGAUCCAGCAAUGCCGCGUGAGUGAUGAAGGCCUUCGGGUCGUAAAGCUCUUUUACCAGGGAUGAUAAUGACAGUACCUGGAGAAUAAGCUCCGGCUAACUACGUG